rnacentral:lncRNA from 1 species
GUAUGACUGAGCGAAGACAGGGAGAGGUCCAUGCCAUUGAAAGAAGUCUAUUACUCAAAGUUCCGCAGAAACCAGGGAACAUGGAACCCUGCAGGGCCAGGCGAAGCCUCAGUGCACCCAGGAGACGGGGAGAGACACAGGGCCAGAGAGGAGCUGGGACCGUGCCUUCACUGCUGCUGUGGUGGGGAGCAGCCAGAGACUAUCCUGGGGCAGGACUGGAGCCAGACGUCUGGGCCUGCCUUACGGGCCCCCGUUUCACACCCACUUCCCAACACUGGACCUCAUCCUGCUUCUGUACAGUGGCUGCUGCCCCGGAGGGGCCGGGCUGGAGCCAAAGCACCCAGGACCCGGACCCCUGAACCCUUCUGCAGGAGAUGCACUGGGCCACCCGGCAGCGGCCAGCCCAGAGACCUCGAUACCAUAGGGAAGCCUGGAGCCCACAGCCCGGUGCUGGGAGCCUGGAAUGAAGAAGGGGGAGACCAGAAUGGAGAGCCUGGCUAAAACCCCUGCUCCACAGCCCAGAGUGGCACCGGGGACAAAGGCCAGCCGAGUGAGCUCAGCCCUGAGUACCCAGAGGCCAUCCUUCAAAUCUAUCGUGUCC